AGUGAACGCUGGCGGUAGGCCUAACACAUGCAAGUCGAACGGCAGCACAGAGGAGCUUGCUCCUUGGGUGGCGAGUGGCGGACGGGUGAGGAAUACAUCGGAAUCUACUCUGUCGUGGGGGAUAACGUAGGGACACUUACGCUAAUACCGCAUACGACCUACGGGUGAAAGCAGGGGAUCUUCGGACCUUGCGCGAUUGAAUGAGCCGAUGUCGGAUUAGCUCGUUGGCGGGGUAAAGGCCCACCAAGGCGACGAUCCGUAGCUGGUCUGAGAGGAUGAUCAGCCACACUGGAACUGAGACACGGUCCAGACUCCUACGGGAGGCAGCAGUGGGGAAUAUUGGACAAUGGGCGCAAGCCUGAUCCAGCCAUACCGCGUGGGUGAAGAAGGCCUUCGGGUUGUAAAGCCCUUUUGUUGGGAAAGAAAUCCAUCUGGUUAAUACCCGGGUGGGAUGACGGUACCCAAAGAAUAAGCACCGGCUAACUUCGUGCCAGCAGCCGCCGUAA
rnacentral:rRNA from 1 species